GGGUUGUGAGGUUAAGCGACUAAGCGUACACGGUGGAUGCCCUGGCAGUCAGAGGCGAUGAAGGGCGUGCUAAUCUGCGAUAAGCGCCGGUAAGGUGAUAUGAACCGUUAUAACCGGCGAUACCCGAAUGGGGAAACCCAGUGUGAUUCGUCACACUAUCAUUAACUGAAUCCAUAGGUUAAUGAGGCGAACCGGGGGAACUGAAACAUCUAAGUACCCCGAGGAAAAGAAAUCAACCGAGAUUCCCCCAGUAGCGGCGAGCGAACGGGGAGGAGCCCAGAGCCUGAAUCAGCAUGUGUGUUAGUGGAAGCGUCUGGAAAGGCGCGCGAUACAGGGUGACAGCCCCGUACACAAAAGCGCAUGUGCUGUGAGCUCGAUGAGUAGGGCGGGACACGUGGUAUCCUGUCUGAAUAUGGGGGGACCAUCCUCCAAGGCUAAAUACUCCUGACUGACCGAUAGUGAACCAGUACCGUGAGGGAAAGGCGAAAAGAACCCCGGCGAGGGGAGUGAAAAAGAACCUGAAACCGUGUACGUACAAGCAGUGGGAGCACAGGUUUACCUGUGUGACUGCGUACCUUUUGUAUAAUGGGUCAGCGACUUAUAUUCUGUAGCAAGGUUAACCGAAUAGGGGAGCCGGAGGGAAACCGAGUCUUAACCGGGCGUUAAGUUGCAGGGUAUAGACCCGAAACCCGGUGAUCUAGCCAUGGGCAGGUUGAAGGUUGGGUAACACUAACUGGAGGACCGAACCGACUAAUGUUGAAAAAUUAGCGGAUGACCUGUGGCUGGGGGUGAAAGGCCAAUCAAACCGGGAGAUAGCUGGUUCUCCCCGAAAGCUAUUUAGGUAGCGCCUCGUGAAUUCAUCUCCGGGGGUAGAGCACUGUUUCGGCUAGGGGGCCAUCCCGGCUUACCAACCCGAUGCAAACUGCGAAUACCGGAGAAUGUUAUCACGGGAGACACACGGCGGGUGCUAACGUCCGUCGUGAAGAGGGAAACAACCCAGACCGCCAGCUAAGGUCCCAAAGUCAUGGUUAAGUGGGAAACGAUGUGGGAAGGCCCAGACAGCCAGGAUGUUGGCUUAGAAGCAGCCAUCAUUUAAAGAAAGCGUAAUAGCUCACUGGUCGAGUCGGCCUGCGCGGAAGAUGUAACGGGGCUAAACCAUGCACCGAAGCUGCGGCAGCGACGCUGAUGCGUUGUUGGGUAGGGGAGCGUUCUGUAAGCCUGCGAAGGUGGCCUGUGAGGGUUGCUGGAGGUAUCAGAAGUGCGAAUGCUGACAUAAGUAACGAUAAAGCGGGUGAAAAGCCCGCUCGCCGGAAGACCAAGGGUUCCUGUCCAACGUUAAUCGGGGCAGGGUGAGUCGACCCCUAAGGCGAGGCCGAAAGGCGUAGUCGAUGGGAAACGGGUUAAUAUUCCCGUACUUGGUGUUACUGCGAAGGGGGGACGGAGAAGGCUAUGUUGGCCGGGCGACGGUUGUCCCGGUUUAAGCGUGUAGGUGUGUGUUCCAGGUAAAUCCGGUUCACUUUAACACUGAGGCGUGAUGACGAGGCACUACGGUGCUGAAGCAACAAAUGCCCUGCUUCCAGGAAAAGCCUCUAAGCAUCAGGUAACAUCAAAUCGUACCCCAAACCGACACAGGUGGUCAGGUAGAGAAUACCAAGGCGCUUGAGAGAACUCGGGUGAAGGAACUAGGCAAAAUGGUGCCGUAACUUCGGGAGAAGGCACGCUGACAUGUAGGUGAAGUGAUUUACUCAUGGAGCUGAAGUCAGUCGAAGAUACCAGCUGGCUGCAACUGUUUAUUAAAAACACAGCACUGUGCAAACACGAAAGUGGACGUAUACGGUGUGACGCCUGCCCGGUGCCGGAAGGUUAAUUGAUGGGGUCAGCGCAAGCGAAGCUCCUGAUCGAAGCCCCGGUAAACGGCGGCCGUAACUAUAACGGUCCUAAGGUAGCGAAAUUCCUUGUCGGGUAAGUUCCGACCUGCACGAAUGGCGUAAUGAUGGCCAGGCUGUCUCCACCCGAGACUCAGUGAAAUUGAACUCGCUGUGAAGAUGCAGUGUACCCGCGGCAAGACGGAAAGACCCCGUGAACCUUUACUAUAGCUUGACACUGAACAUUGAGCCUUGAUGUGUAGGAUAGGUGGGAGGCUUUGAAGUGUGGACGCCAGUCUGCAUGGAGCCGACCUUGAAAUACCACCCUUUAAUGUUUGAUGUUCUAACGUGGACCCGUUACCCGGGUUGCGGACAGUGUCUGGUGGGUAGUUUGACUGGGGCGGUCUCCUCCUAAAGAGUAACGGAGGAGCACGAAGGUUGGCUAAUCCUGGUCGGACAUCAGGAGGUUAGUGCAAUGGCAUAAGCCAGCUUGACUGCGAGCGUGACGGCGCGAGCAGGUGCGAAAGCAGGUCAUAGUGAUCCGGUGGUUCUGAAUGGAAGGGCCAUCGCUCAACGGAUAAAAGGUACUCCGGGGAUAACAGGCUGAUACCGCCCAAGAGUUCAUAUCGACGGCGGUGUUUGGCACCUCGAUGUCGGCUCAUCACAUCCUGGGGCUGAAGUAGGUCCCAAGGGUAUGGCUGUUCGCCAUUUAAAGUGGUACGCGAGCUGGGUUUAGAACGUCGUGAGACAGUUCGGUCCCUAUCUGCCGUGGGCGCUGGAGAACUGAGGGGGGCUGCUCCUAGUACGAGAGGACCGGAGUGGACGCAUCACUGGUGUUCGGGUUGUCAUGCCAAUGGCACUGCCCGGUAGCUAAAUGCGGAAGAGAUAAGUGCUGAAAGCAUCUAAGCACGAAACUUGCCCCGAGAUGAGUUCUCCCUGAGACUUAGAGUCUCCUGAAGGAACGUUGAAGACGACGACGUUGAUAGGCCGGGUGUGUAAGCGCAGCGAUGCGUUGAGCUAACCGGUACUAAUGAACCGUGAGGCUUAACCUUACAACGCCGAAG
rnacentral:rRNA from 1 species